rnacentral:lncRNA from 1 species
CUCUCUACACUGUACUGAGGAGGUCAUCUACCAGGGAAUUUCCUAUGCUGAGUUAAUUGAAAAUGGUUAAGAUCUUACUGGCGUAUGUUCUUUGGGUUUUAGUUGUCUCAACUCGAAUUUUUCAAUGAGACAAUCUUGAAGAUAUGAGAUUUUAAAAAUCACAGUAAUUUUUGUUGAGUCAAAAUUCAUUUUGUGAACUUUUAUUUCAAUUUCUUUGUCAAUUGAGAAUAUCCAUAAGACACAGUUCUUCUCUUCCUUCAGUCACUGUGCCCCUCCUGAGAAUGCCUUGUAAGUUGUUCAAUUUCAGGAGCUACGUGGAAGGCAAUUGACUGUCAGUUAAAAAUUUGAAUGUAGGUGUAUGACCUUGACCUGGGUCUUGUGCGCUUGUUUGGUGUGAUACUUUUCACAGAGAAAAGUACAUUUGCAAAAUCUUAACGGAUUAAAUGACUCAGUGGAGUGCAAAUAAGAACCUUCAAUCUACAGUUCACUGAAAACAAAAACUGGAUGGAAUAGAGUGCAUUUUUGCUUUGUUUCAUGCUAUUUUCUUGUAUCUGUGUGAUUUAUAGUUGAAAUCCUAAAUUAU